GACGAACGCUGGCGGCGUGCUUAACACAUGCAAGUCGAACGGAAAGGCCCUGCGUUUGUGCGGUGCUCGAGUGGCGAACGGGUGAGUAACACGUGAGUAACCUGCCCUUGACUUUGGGAUAACUUCAGGAAACUGGGGCUAAUACCGGAUAGGAGCUCCUGCUGCAUUGUGGGGGUUGGAAAGUUUCGGCGGUUGGGGAUGGACUCGCGGCUUAUCAGCUUGUUGGUUGGGUAGGUGCUUACCAAGGCUUUGACGGGUCGCCGGCCUGAGAGGGUGACCGGCGACAUUGGGACUGAGAUACGGCGCAGACUCGUACGGUAGGCAGCAGUGGGGAAUAUUGCACAAUGGGCGGAAGCCUGAUGAAGCAACGUCGCGUGCGGGAUGACGGCUUUCGGGUUGUAAACCGCUUUAGCCUGUGACGAAGCGUGAGUGACGGUAAUGGGUAAAGAAGCACCGGCUAACUACGUG
rnacentral:rRNA from 1 species